CCUACGGGUGGCAGCAGUGAGGAAUAUUGGUCAAUGGGCGCAAGCCUGAACCAGCCAAGUCGCGUGAGGGAUGACGGUCCUAUGGAUUGUAAACCUCUUUUGUCGGGGAGAAAGGCCCGCCACGUGUGGCGGGAAGGAGAGUACCCGACGAAAAAGCAUCGGCUAACUCCGUGCCAGCAGCCGCGGUAAUACGGUGGAUGCGAGCGUUAUCCGGCUUUAUUGGGUUUAAAGGGUACGUAGGCGGAAGGUUAAGUCAGCGGUAAAAUGUCGGUGCUCAACACCGGCCUGCCGUUGAAACUGGUCUUCUUGAGUGAGCGAGAAGUAUGCGGAAUGCGUGGUGUAGCGGUGAAAUGCAUAGAUAUCACGCAGAACUCCGAUUGCGAAGGCAGCAUACCGGCGCUCAACUGACGCUGAGGCACGAAAGCGUGGGGAUCGAACAGGAUUAGAUACCCGGGUAGUC
rnacentral:rRNA from 1 species